rnacentral:rRNA from 1 species
UGCCAGCCGCCGCGGUAAUACGGAAGGUGCAAGCGUUAACCGGAUUUACUGGGCGUAAAGAGCGCGUAGGCUGAAUGAUAAGUCAGAUGUGAAAUACCGAUACUCAAUAUCGGUGCUGCAUUUGAAACUGUCUUUCUUGAGGAUAGAUGGAGAAAGCGGAAUUCCGUAUGUAGCGGUGGAAUGCGUAGAUAUACGGAAGAACACCCGUGGCGAAAGCGGCUUUCUAAUUUAUUUCUGACGCUGAGGCGCGAAAGCGUGGGGAGCAAACAGGAUUAGAUA